rnacentral:rRNA from 1 species
GGUUAAGCGACUAAGCGUACACGGUGGAUGCCCUGGCAGUCAGAGGCGAUGAAGGACGUGCUAAUCUGCGAUAAGCGUCGGUAAGGUGAUAUGAACCGUUAUAACCGGCGAUUUCCGAAUGGGGAAACCCAGUGUGUUUCGACACACUAUCAUUAACUGAAUCCAUAGGUUAAUGAGGCGAACCGGGGGAACUGAAACAUCUAAGUACCCCGAGGAAAAGAAAUCAACCGAGAUUCCCCCAGUAGCGGCGAGCGAACGGGGAGGAGCCCAGAGCCUGAAUCAGUGUGUGUGUUAGUGGAAGCGUCUGGAAAGGCGCGCGAUACAGGGUGACAGCCCCGUACACAAAAAUGCACAUAUUGUGAGCUCGAUGAGUAGGGCGGGACACGUGGUAUCCUGUCUGAAUAUGGGGGACCAUCCUCCAAGGCUAAAUACUCCUGACUGACCGAUAGUGAACCAGUACCGUGAGGGAAAGGCGAAAAGAACCCCGGCGAGGGGAGUGAAAAAGAACCUGAAACCGUGUACGUACAAGCAGUGGGAGCCUCUUUAUGGGGUGACUGCGUACCUUUUGUAUAAUGGGUCAGCGACUUAUAUUCUGUAGCAAGGUUAACCGAAUAGGGGAGCCGAAGGGAAACCGAGUCUUAACUGGGCGUUAAGUUGCAGGGUAUAGACCCGAAACCCGGUGAUCUAGCCAUGGGCAGGUUGAAGGUUGGGUAACACUAACUGGAGGACCGAACCGACUAAUGUUGAAAAAUUAGCGGAUGACUUGUGGCUGGGGGUGAAAGGCCAAUCAAACCGGGAGAUAGCUGGUUCUCCCCGAAAGCUAUUUAGGUAGCGCCUCGUGAAUUCAUCUCCGGGGUAGAGCACUGUUUCGGCAAGGGGGUCAUCCCGACUUACCAACCCGAUGCAAACUGCGAAUACCGGAGAAUGUUAUCACGGGAGACACACGGCGGGUGCUAACGUCCGUCGUGAAGAGGGAAACAACCCAGACCGCCAGCUAAGGUCCCAAAGUCAUGGUUAAGUGGGAAACGAUGUGGGAAGGCCCAGACAGCCAGGAUGUUGGCUUAGAAGCAGCCAUCAUUUAAAGAAAGCGUAAUAGCUCACUGGUCGAGUCGGCCUGCGCGGAAGAUGUAACGGGGCUAAACCAUGCACCGAAGCUGCGGCAGCGACGCUGAUGCGUUGUUGGGUAGGGGAGCGUUCUGUAAGCCUGUGAAGGUGUACUGUGAGGUAUGCUGGAGGUAUCAGAAGUGCGAAUGCUGACAUAAGUAACGAUAAAGCGGGUGAAAAGCCCGCUCGCCGGAAGACCAAGGGUUCCUGUCCAACGUUAAUCGGGGCAGGGUGAGUCGACCCCUAAGGCGAGGCCGAAAGGCGUAGUCGAUGGGAAACAGGUUAAUAUUCCUGUACUUGGUGUUACUGCGAAGGGGGACGGAGAAGGCUAUGUUGGCCGGGCGACGGUUGUCCCGGUUUAAGCGUGUAGGCUGGUUUUCCAGGCAAAUCCGGAAAAUCAAGGCUGAGGCGUGAUGACGAGGCACUACGGUGCUGAAGCAACAAAUGCCCUGCUUCCAGGAAAAGCCUCUAAGCAUCAGGUAACAUCAAAUCGUACCCCAAACCGACACAGGUGGUCAGGUAGAGAAUACCAAGGCGCUUGAGAGAACUCGGGUGAAGGAACUAGGCAAAAUGGUGCCGUAACUUCGGGAGAAGGCACGCUGAUAUGUAGGUGAAGUCCCUCGCGGAUGGAGCUGAAAUCAGUCGAAGAUACCAGCUGGCUGCAACUGUUUAUUAAAAACACAGCACUGUGCAAACACGAAAGUGGACGUAUACGGUGUGACGCCUGCCCGGUGCCGGAAGGUUAAUUGAUGGGGUUAGCGCAAGCGAAGCUCUUGAUCGAAGCCCCGGUAAACGGCGGCCGUAACUAUAACGGUCCUAAGGUAGCGAAAUUCCUUGUCGGGUAAGUUCCGACCUGCACGAAUGGCGUAAUGAUGGCCAGGCUGUCUCCACCCGAGACUCAGUGAAAUUGAACUCGCUGUGAAGAUGCAGUGUACCCGCGGCAAGACGGAAAGACCCCGUGAACCUUUACUAUAGCUUGACACUGAACAUUGAGCCUUGAUGUGUAGGAUAGGUGGGAGGCUUUGAAGUGUGGACGCCAGUCUGCAUGGAGCCGACCUUGAAAUACCACCCUUUAAUGUUUGAUGUUCUAACGUGGACCCGUAAUCCGGGUUGCGGACAGUGUCUGGUGGGUAGUUUGACUGGGGCGGUCUCCUCCUAAAGAGUAACGGAGGAGCACGAAGGUUGGCUAAUCCUGGUCGGACAUCAGGAGGUUAGUGCAAUGGCAUAAGCCAGCUUGACUGCGAGCGUGACGGCGCGAGCAGGUGCGAAAGCAGGUCAUAGUGAUCCGGUGGUUCUGAAUGGAAGGGCCAUCGCUCAACGGAUAAAAGGUACUCCGGGGAUAACAGGCUGAUACCGCCCAAGAGUUCAUAUCGACGGCGGUGUUUGGCACCUCGAUGUCGGCUCAUCACAUCCUGGGGCUGAAGUAGGUCCCAAGGGUAUGGCUGUUCGCCAUUUAAAGUGGUACGCGAGCUGGGUUUAGAACGUCGUGAGACAGUUCGGUCCCUAUCUGCCGUGGGCGCUGGAGAACUGAGGGGGCUGCUCCUAGUACGAGAGGACCGGAGUGGACGCAUCACUGGUGUUCGGGUUGUCAUGCCAAUGGCACUGCCCGGUAGCUAAAUGCGGAAGAGAUAAGUGCUGAAAGCAUCUAAGCACGAAACUUGCCCCGAGAUGAGUUCUCCCUGACUCCUUGAGAGUCCUGAAGGAACGUUGAAGACGACGACGUUGAUAGGCCGGGUGUGUAAGCGCAGCGAUGCGUUGAGCUAACCGGUACUAAUGAACCGUGAGGCUUAACCUU